AAGUCGUAACAAGGUUUCCGUAGGUGAACCUGCGGAAGGAUCAUUAGUGAAUUAACGGUGCUCUUGACUUUUAACAGUCGUAGAGGCCUGACCUCCACUUUCCACACUUGUGCAUUUGUUUUUUUAAAAGUGAAGUGAAAACCCCCUGGGAUUUCACUUUGCGCCUUUAUUCAAAACACUAGUCAAUGAAUGUUUUAAAAACCAUAACAAAAAAAAAACUUUCAACAACGGAUCUCUUGGCUCUC
rnacentral:misc_RNA from 1 species